rfam:Hordeum vulgare subsp. vulgare, WGS project CAJW01000000 data, contig: morex_contig_139552
UUACUACUUUCCUCCGUCCGGAAAUAUUUGUCGUAGGAAUGGAUGCAUCUAAAUAUAUUUUAGUUCUAGAUACAUUUUUUUUUAUCAAUUUGUCCGACAAAUAAUUCGGGAUGGAGGGUAAAAA